rnacentral:rRNA from 1 species
UACGUAGGGGCUAGCGUUAUCCGGAAUUACUGGGCGUAAAGGGUGCGUAGGUGGUUUCUUAAGUCAGAGGUGAAAGGCUACGGCUCAACCGUAGUAAGCCUUUGAAACUGGGGAACUUGAGUGCAGGAGAGGAGAGUGGAAUUCCUAGUGUAGCGGUGAAAUGCGUAGAUAUUAGGAGGAACACCAGUUGCGAAGGCGGCUCUCUGGACUGUAACUGACACUGAGGCACGAAAGCGUGGGGAGCAAACAGGAUUAGAUACCCGUGUAGUCCCUGAGCGGG